GUGCAGCCGCCGCGGUAAUACCGGCAGCCCGAGUGAUGGCCGAUAUUAUUGGGCCUAAAGCGUCCGUAGCUGGCCGAACAAGUCCGUCGGGAAACCCACGUGCUUAACACGUGGGCGACCGGCGGAAACUGUUCGGCUUGGGGCCGGAGGACCCGAGGGGUACAUCCGGGGUAGGAGUGAAAUCCUGUAAUCCUGGACGGACCGCCGGUGGCGAAAGCGCCUCGGGAAGACGGACCCAACAGUGAGGGACGAAAGCUGGGAUCUCGAACCGGAUUAGAAACCCGGGUAGUCC
rnacentral:rRNA from 1 species